rnacentral:rRNA from 1 species
CUCCUUGAGAGUCCUGAAGGAACAUUGAAGACGACGACGUUGAUAGGCCGGGUGUGUAAGCGCGGCGAUGCGUUGAGCUAACCGGUACUAAUGAACCGUGAGGCUUAACCUUACAACGCCGAAG